rnacentral:lncRNA from 1 species
UGCUGAACCAUCCCACGGACAUACCAUGUUGUCUCCACUUUCCUAACAAGCAAACUUGCAGUUGUUAUUUAUUAAGUGCUGAAAGUAUCCAUGGUACAUUGCUUAGCAUCCACGGCACCCAUUAGAUCCAAAAAACAGCAUCACAGUGUUGCAGAAUAGGUACUUGAGGCUCUCUUGGUGGAGGGAGAGAGGUAAAGUGACACUUCCAGGGUCACAGAGAUGGUAAAUGGAAGAAAGAUGCAGACCUAGCUCUCUCUCGAAUGUCUGCUCAACAGGUAUGUGAGGGGCUAGAGUGGACUAGUGCCAGCAGUAGUGAGUGAGACAGAUACAGAAGGCUGUGGCCUGGUCAGGGAGGCAAGCACGGAACACGGAACACUGGGCAACAUUCCUGGGAUUGGCUGUGCCUUCCAAGUCCUGUAAAGGAGGUGUGCAAGGUUCUAAGAGGGUACAGGAAGGAUUCAGUUCAGACUUGCAGAUUUGUAGAUAUCUUUUAAAAGAUAGACUACGAGGCUUCAUAUCAGACCCACCUGGUGAGUGGGAAUUGGUCAGACAAAGAAUAUUCCAAGAAGAGCACACAACAGGAGGAGGCCUGAGUUGUGAAAGCUGGUCUUGCUUUACAAACAGAAAAAAGGCCAGUGUGGCUGGGGCACAAGGGACUGAGAGGGAUGGAGAGGCGAAGUGGCUGGCAAGUGUGCAAGCCCAGAUCAAACAGGGCCAUGAGGGCCACAGAAAGGAGUGAAGGUGUCAUUCUGAGUGCAGUGGGAGCCACUGGAGGUGUUGAAGCCAGAAUAGGAGAGCUGGAAUCAAUUUACGAAGGUGACUUUGGAAAACGAAUAAGAAGAACCAAGCAUCACAGUACAAAGUCAGGGUGGGGCCUAGCACAGCAUUCCAGGACAAGGUGCAUGCAAGCUUCCUGGGAACUGAAAGCCCCUAUCCAUCAGAGGGCCCUGAGGAGCCACUUCUCAUGCUUGCGAGGCCACCUGGCAUGAACAGUGCCAGAACGGUCCCCUGGCCACCCAUGCAGGGAGCCGCCUCUCCCAGCAGGUCUCCAGAGUCCCUGUUGCCUUCCUUCCCUGAGCAUUGUCACCUGCUCUGUAAUCAUACAAUUAUGAUGCCAUUAAAAUGUCACAUUUGAAGAAAUCCGUAUAAACAAAGCCUUAACAACCGCUUGAAAAUUGUAGUCUUUACCACUAAUGACCUACUUUCUCUAUGUGCAGGGCCCUCCUGCCACCACCACCUCUGCUUUGCUGCCUCUUUCUCCAGCCUUGAUUUCAGGGACAGGAGAGAGGUUGCAGUGGCCUUUUCCCGCCUGGAAAGUCUCAGUGUUUCCUGUGCUGGGAGAGGCUCUGCGAUGGGACCAAGGCGGCCAGGCCAGCAGGAGCCCAGCACCUGGUGGUUCAGUGAAGGAGACAAGAGGGCACCGAGCAAAUGUGAGGCUCUGAAAGGAGAGACCUCAGGGAGGAGCUGGCCUAGGAAAUUGAAGUGAGCCAAAGGUGCGAGAAAUCUGAGGGUUGAUUUCACCCCCUUGGCUUUGACUUCAUCCUCUUGGGAAGAAGAAACUGGAGACACAGCAGAGACAUAGCGGCAACUCUGGCAGCACAGUGUUGUCAAGGGAAAAGCCCUGUUGAGAGGUCUGGCCAGAGCUUUACCUUCCUACUGCUGAGCGGAGGGCAAGGACAGAGGUGAGCAGGCAGACAAGGGGGU